rnacentral:rRNA from 1 species
GUCCUAGUUACCAGCACGUUAUCGGUGGGCACUCUAAGGAGACUGCCGGUGGCAACCGAGGAAGUGGGGAUGACGUCAAGUCAUCAUGGCCCUUACGGCCUGGGCUACACACGUGCUACAAUGGUCGGUACAAAGGGUUGCCAAGCCGCGAGGUGGAGCUAAUCCCAUAAAACCGAUCGUAGUCCGGAUCGCAGUCUGCAACUCGACUGCGUGAAGUCGGAAUCGCUAGUAAUCGUGAAUCAGAAUGUCACGGUGAAUACGUUCCCGGGCCUU